GCGCGUAGGUGGUAGUGCAAGUCUGGGGUGGAAUCCCAGGGCUUAACCCUGGAACUGCCUUGGAAACUGUAUUACUUGAGUCAGUGAGGGGAGGGUAGAAUUCCUGGUGUAGCGGUGAAAUGCGUAGAUAUCAGGAGGAAGGCCUGUGGCGAAGGCGGCCCUCUGGCGCUGAACUGACACUGAGGCGCGAAAGCGUGGGUAGCAAACAGGAUUAGAUACCCUGGUAGUCCACGCCCUAAACGGUGGGUACUAGGUGUGGGGCUCGUAAGGGUUCUGUGCCGAAGCGAAAGCAUUAAGUACCCCGCUGGGGAGUACGGCCGCAAGGUUGAA
rnacentral:rRNA from 1 species